GAUAGAAAGAAUAGAAAUCCAAGUAAAAUCUUUGUAGAAUGGCUUUUUGCUUCUAUCAGCUUUUUUUCUUGGGAAUUUUAUUUGUUGCUUUGGCUCUGUCUUCAGGACUAACGACGGGACUGAGCGAAAUUUCAAGCUAUCGAUGCUUAGGGCUUGGGCUAUGCAAUAAAUUUGAAGAAUGCCAAAGCGCUUGUAUUAAUGUGGGUUUGCAUGCCGUCUACUGUGAAAAAGGUGUUUGUUGUUGUAAGUGAUCAAGUUAAAUUGUACCCAUGCUUAUUUUAUAAAAAUACAAUAAAUUGGGUGUUUGAACAAAAA